rnacentral:lncRNA from 1 species
UUCUUUCGUGUCAAUUGAACCCUCAAACCGAGUUGUUUGCAAAUUUUGCCUUUUGCUUAUGUCUAAGUAGGGAGCAUUAUUGAAUAAAUUUGGUUUUGAAAUCUAAAGUUGGGGAGAGUAAAGAAAAAAAAGUUGAUUAGAAACUUGGAAAAGUGAGUUUUUAUGAAAGGGUGAAAGUAUGAAAAGAAACAAGAAAAAGAAAUCACCCUUGAAACCAUAGAGCAAAGAAAAAGA